rnacentral:rRNA from 1 species
GACGUAGGGCGCGAGCGUUGUCCGGAUUUAUUGGGCGUAAAGAGCUCGUAGGCGGCUUGUCGCGUCGAAUGUGAAAACCCACGGCUCAACUGUGGGCUUGCAUUCGAUACGGGCAGGCUAGAGUUCGGUAGGGGAGACUGGAAUUCCUGGUGUAGCGGUGAAAUGCGCAGAUAUCAGGAGGAACACCGGUGGCGAAGGCGGGCCUCUGGGCCGAUACUGACGCUGAGGAGCGAAAGCGUGGGGAGCGAACAGG